ACACUGACGUCGCGACGCAUAUCAAUAAGCGGAGGAAAAGAAACUAACAAGGAUUCCCCUAGUAACGGCGAGUGAAGCGGGAAGAGCUCAAAUUUGAAAUCUUAAAGGGUUUCCCUUUACGAAUUGUAGUUUAAAGAAGUGUUUUCUGCUGAGGUUUUGGUAAAAGUUCUUUGGAAUAGGACAUCAUAGAGGGUGAGAAUCCCGUAUUUGACCUUUACUUUCAACUUUGUGAUACACUUUCAAAGAGUCGGAUUGUUUGGGAAUGCAGUCCAAAAUGGGUGGUAAAUUUCAUCUAAAGCUAAAUAUUGGCGAGAGACCGAUAGCGAACGAGUACCGUGAGGGAAAGAUGAAAAGAACUUUGAAAAGAGAGUUAAACAGUACGUGAAAUUGUCAAAAGGGAAGCGCUUGACACCAGUGUUGUUUUCUCGAAAAUCAAUUAGAAAAGGCAGGAUUUUGUGUUGUAUUGACUUUAUCAGCUUUCUGUACUUUUUUCCUGUCUUCUUUAAUGCACUUUUCGUUUAACAAGUCAACAUCAGUUUCUUUUGUUAGUAAAAGGGUCAUGAGGAAGGUGGCUUUCUUUUCGGAGAAAGUGUUUAUAGCCUUGUGCCUCUGCAAUCGGAGAGAUUGAGGUCUGCAGCGUAGAUCCUUCGGGGUUAGAUACAUUUGUGCUAAGUUAUAACUUCUCAUAGACAACUUGUUGACUAUGUUAGUCAUUGUAGCUUACUCGCUUAUGCUAUUUUACCUACGCUUAGGAUGUUGAACUCUAUCACACACAG
rnacentral:rRNA from 1 species